AAUUUUUAGCAUUUGGAGUCACCCACCCUGUAAAAUGAAAGCUCAGCAGCUCACCUGUCCCGGAGCCAGCUGCGGGCACAGGCAGGGAGUGUGGGGAUGAGUUGGGCACCGUGGGACACUUCUCCCACCACCAUAAGCCUCUCCUGCGGUACCGGCAAGGAGAAGCAGCAGCAAGUGUUCUCCCCUGGGAGCAGAAAAUGCACGUGAAAAUCACACGGCCCCAGUAGGUCCAAUGGCCAUGGCAGCAUCCCUUAAGAAAGGGUUUAUGUGGAUUUCUAAGCAGGGAAACUG